UAGGGAAUCUUCCACAAUGGACGCAAGUCUGAUGGAGCAACGCCGCGUGAGUGAAGAAGGUUUUCGGACCGUAAAGCUCUGUUGUUGGUGAAGAAGGAUAGAGGUAGUAACUGGCCUUUAUUUGACGGUAAUCAACCAGAAAGUCACGGCUAACUACGUGCCAGCAGCCGCGGUAAUCGUAGGUGGCAAGCGUUGUCCGGAUUAUUGGGC
rnacentral:rRNA from 1 species